rnacentral:rRNA from 1 species
AUCUACAGCCAUACCACCCUGAACGCACCCUGUCUCAUCUGAUCUUGGAAGCUAAGCAGUGUCAAGCCUGGUUAGUAGUUGGAUGGUAGACUUUUUAUAAUUAUACAACUAUAUAAA